rnacentral:rRNA from 1 species
GACGAACGCUGGCGGCGUGCUUAACACAUGCAAGUCGAACGGAAAGGCCCUGCUUUUGUGGGGUGCUCGAGUGGCGAACGGGUGAGUAACACGUGAGUAACCUGCCCUUGACUUUGGGAUAACUUCAGGAAACUGGGGCUAAUACCGGAUAGGAGCUCCUGCUGCAUGGUGGGGGUUGGAAAGUUUCGGCGGUUGGGGAUGGACUCGCGGCUUAUCAGCUUGUUGGUGGGGUAGUGGCUUACCAAGGCUUUGACGGGUAGCCGGCCUGAGAGGGUGACCGGGCCCAUUGGGCUAGGGGAGGCGCCAGGGGGCAACAGGGGGCAAGGAGCGGGAGAUUGUGCCAGAGGGGCCGAAGGCGGAAGGAGCAACGCCGGGUGGGGAAUCCCGGCUUUCGGGUUGGAAACCGAUUUGGCCUGUACCCAGGGGUUGGGACGGUUAAUGAGUAAAAAGCACCGGCCAACUUCGGU